ACUCAAAUGAAUAGACGGGGACCCGCACAAGCAGCGGAGCAUGUGGUUUAAUUCGAAGCAACGCGAAGAACCUUACCAGGGCUUGACAUCCCCCUGAAAGCUAAGUAAUGUUAGCCGCCUUCGGGCAGGGGAGACAGGUGGUGCAUGGUUGUCGUCAGCUCGUGUCGUGAGAUGUUGGGUUAAGUCCCGCAACGAGCGCAACCCUUGUCAUUAGUUGCCAUCAUUAAGUUGGGCACUCAAAUGAGACUGCCGGGGAUAACUCGGAGGAAGGUGGGGAUGACGUCAAAUCAUCAUGCCCCUUAUGUCCUGGGCUACACACGUGCUACAAUGGCCGGUACAGCGAGAAGCAAAGGAGCGAUCCGGAGCGGACCUCAAAAACCGGCCCCAGUUCGGAUUGUGGGCUGAAACCCGCCCGCAUGAAGCCGGAGUUGCUAGUAAUCGCGGAUCAGAAUGCCGCGGUGAAUGCGUUCCCGGGUCUUGUACACACCGCCCGU
rnacentral:rRNA from 1 species